ACGCCGCGUGAGUGAAGAAGGUUUUCGGAUCGUAAAACUCUGUUGNUANAGAAGAACAAGGACGUUAGUAACUGAACGUCCCCUGACGGUAUCUAACCAGAAAGCCACGGCUAACUACGUGCCAGCAGCCGCGGUAAUACGUAGGUGGCAAGCGUUGUCCGGAUUUAUUGGGCGUAAAGCGAGCGCAGGCGGUUUCUUAAGUCUGAUGUGAAAGCCCCCGGCUCAACCGGGGAGGGUCAUUGGAAACUGGGAGACUUGAGUGCAGAAGAGGAGAGUGGAAUUCCAUGUGUAGCGGUGAAAUGCGUAGAUAUAUGGAGGAACACCAGUGGCGAAGGCGGCUCUCUGGUCUGUAACUGACGCUGAGGCUCGAAAGCGUGGGGAGCAAACAGGAUUAGAUACCCUGGUAGUCCACGCCGUAAACGAUGAGUGCUAAGUGUUGGAGGGUUUCCGCCCUUCAGUGCUGCAGCAAACGCAUUAAGCACUCCGCCUGGGGAGUACGACCGCAAGGUUGAAACUCAAAGGAAUUGACGGGU
rnacentral:rRNA from 1 species